UUUAGAUUAAUGAUUUUCAACUAUUUGAGUUUUUGAUUUUUGUUGCAGGCUGUUUGAUUAACGUCUGCAAAAUAGGAAUUUCGGAUGGCUUCUGGAAAGGGAAAAGGGAAAAGCUUCAGAUGUGAAUACUUUGUAUGUGAAAGGCAAAAAAAAGGACACUACAAGGAGAAGGUUCUUUGUCUAAUCCAUCAAUGAAAAGGAACAAAUCAAGAGAAUCAUCCAUAUUUUUUUGACACUUUGGAGGAGGGGGAGCGGUGAGGUUUGAACCCUGGACCUCAUUUUUCGUAUACAGGAGUUCGCACCACUUGGUGUCCCCUUGGGGACUGGAGAAUCAUCCAUAUUGAACAUUGUGUAAGGAUCUGAAAGAAUGCAUUGGCGUAGUUGAUGAUCUGCAAGUGAGCAAACGAGGGGUUGCUGUGAUGGAGAAAUACAAGCAACACAAGCUUUUUCCAUGAGUAGAAGAAGCCUUAAACUUAAAAGAAGUGUACAUAAAAGCUUUCAAGGGUUUCAUUCAUUCUGCUGCAUUAGGUCGAACUAAUGCAUUAUCAGUGAUUGGUUUUGUAUUUAGGCUGGUAUACGUGGAAAGAUCUAUGACUUGAUUUGUUGAAUUAGUAUCGAUAUCUUUUGGGCAAUAAUUUUUAGGAAUUAUUUUUGUCUAUAAAGAAUAGAUUAAGGGCAGUCAGUAGUUGCUACAAAUUCAGACUAUUUCUAGCACAGCUUUGGCAAUAACAUUAUAUGAAUAUCUGCUGAUGUGGCUGCAAACUUGGGAAAGAAUAUGAAUACAAUUUUGUAGGUUUCUACAGUAUGGAGAUGAAAAUGUGGUGAAGCUACUUGGUUGGUGUGUGGAAGAUGGUCUGCAAAUCUUUGUGACAAUCUUAAUGGUGUACUCCCCGUCUUAUAUACUAAUUCUUUCUUUA